rnacentral:rRNA from 1 species
UACGUAGGGGGCACGCGUUGUCCGGAUUCAUUGGGCGUAAAGAGCGUGUAGGCGGCCAGGUAGGUCGGUUGUGAAAACUGGAGGCUCAACCUUCAGAGGUCGACCGAAACCAUCUGGCUAGAGUCCGGGAGAGGAGAGUGGAAUUCCCGGUGUAGUGGUGAAAUGCGUAGAUAUCGGGAGGAACACCAGUGGCGAAGGCGACUUCCUGGCCUGUUCUUGACGCUGAGGCGCGAAAGCUAGGGUAGCAAACGGG